rnacentral:rRNA from 1 species
GACGAACGCUGGCGGCGUGCUUAACACAUGCAAGUCGAACGGAAAGGUCCUGCUUUUGUGGGGUGCUCGAGUGGCGAACGGGUGAGUAACACGUGAGUAACCUGCCCUUGACUUUGGGAUAACUUCAGGAAACUGGGGCUAAUACCGGAUAGGAGCUCCUGCUGCAUGGUGGGGGUUGGAAAGUUUCGGCGGUUGGGGAUGGACUCGCGGCUUAUCAGCUUGUUGGUGGGGUAGUGGCUUACCAAGGCUUUGACGGGUAGCCGGCCUGAGAGGGUGACCGGCCACAUGGGGACUGAGAUACGGCCCAGACUCCAACGGGAGGCAGCAGUGGGGAAUAUUGCACAAUGGGCGGAAGCCUGAUGCAGCAACGCCGCGUGCGGGAUGACGGCCUUCGGGUUGUAAACCGCUUUCGACUGUGACGAAGCGUGAGUGACGGUAAUGGGUAAAGAAGCACCGGCUAACUACGUG